AAUAGUGUGCUUGAUCAAAAAGGCCGUCUUGAUAGGGCGGAACAUGCGAGCCUGCUCGCCACUAUUA
rnacentral:tRNA from 1 species